rnacentral:rRNA from 1 species
CCUACGGGUGGCAGCAGUGGGGAAUUUUGCGCAAUGCUCGAAACAGUGACGCAGCGACGCCGCGUGAAUGACGAAGGCCUUCUGGUCGUAAAGUUCUUUCGACAGGGAAGAAAAUUCCUAUAAGUAACUGUGUAUGUUUUGUCGGUCCCUGUAUCAGCAGCCCCGGCUAACCGCGUGCCAGCAGCCGCGUUAAUACGGAGGGGGCGUGCGUUGUUCGGGGUGAAGGGGGGUAAAGGGAACGUAGGCGGUGUUGGAAGUCAUGAGUGAAAGACUAGAGCUCAAAUUUGGAAAGGCUAGUGAAACUAUAAGACUGGAGUGUAGGAGAGGAGUGCGGAAUUCCUAGUGUAGCGGUGAAAUGCGUAGAUAUCAGGAGGAAGACCAGUAGCGAAGGCGGCAAGCUGGGUGGUAACUGACGCUGAGGUGCGAAAGCGUGGGGAGCAAACAGGAUUAGAUACCCGAGUAGUC